rnacentral:lncRNA from 1 species
GAAUGUGUCUAAGACCUUGUACAGAUGCUCCCUAGAGCGUUCCAACAAGUCCCUCUUGGUGUGGGUCGUUCUCAACUUCUCGCUAUCAAAACAGGGACAUUGUUCAUAUCCCACAUGUGAGGGUUUGUCUUCAGAAGAAUUGCUGAAUGCAAGGGCAGAUGCUUUCAAAGCUGUGCUUGUAAACACAUGACAUUGCUUUUCAGGCAGGCUGGAUUCCAGAGACUCUCAGAAACAGUGUCCGUCAGAACCAACCUACCUUCCGGCCAGUGAUGCAGCUGGCCAUUAUGACAGACAUCCAGGCUGGGCAGAGACAAACACUGGAUGCUAUGAGGAAUGUUAAGAAAUGGGGGUCCUAAGCUCACAGAAUAACCAGGGGUCCCAACACCCCUCUCAAGAGCCUGAUACAGCCCCUCAACAAUCAGGGAAAGCAUUCUGGAAGAGGAGGGAAGAGGCACCCCACUCCAAGAGCCAUCCCUCAUCUCCCUCUGAAGUGCCUG